AGCAGGAGCUUCUUCAGAAAGAUUCAGAGAACUCCUACAGGUUUAGUCCGACGUCAGAAUGAUGAACCCUGCUUUCCUCUCUGUGGCGCUGCUGCUGCUGCUGCUGCUGCUGCUUCCUGGGGCCCCAGCUAGAAAGGAUUCACCUGAAAGUGAUUCACCUGAAAGCAUUCCAGCUGAAAGUGAUUCACCUGAAAGCAUUCCAGCUGAAGUGAUUCACCUGAAAAUGAUUCCAGCUGAAAGCAUUCCAGCUGAAAGCAUUUCCUGAUGACGUGUCACUGUCUCUGAAUGUGGCUAUUGUUCAUGAUUUUACAUAUUGUCUUGUGACUGUGAGACUUUUUUUUAUUAGGUUUUCUCGUUAUCCAUCUUUUGAUUCAGACAACACAAACGGGAAAACGGCUUUGGUUUUCCGUUUUUUCGUUUUAAAUCAAAAACGGGAAAAGGCUGGUAUUUUCGUUUUUUGGCUUUUGGUUUAAACGAAAAAUCAAACUGACAAAACGUACACGGACCAACCUCAUUGCACAAACACAGAGCGAACACAGAGCAAACUAGCAACAUUUGGUAGUGACGUUUAGUGUCAAAACUCAGCAGGUACAGGCCAGUAAGGGACAGGCAGAAGACAGGUCAGGGCUAAGCAGAGAAAGGGAAGCCAGUAGGUAGCAGUGGCGAACUGUCAGGGCCUUCAAGGUAUUCAGAGAAUACCCUGGAACACUCAGAUAAAACAAACAAAACAUCGAAAUAAUAAUAUAAAUAAAAUGUAUAUAAAAUGAAUAAAUAAGAA